rnacentral:rRNA from 1 species
AUUGAACGCUGGCGGCAGGCCUAACACAUGCAAGUCGAACGAGUGGCGGAUGGGUGAGUAAUGUCAGGGAAACUGCCCGAUGGAGGGGGAGAACUACUGGAAACGGUAGCUAAUACCGCAUACCAUCGGAUGUGCCCAGAUGGGAUGAGCUUGUAGGUGAGGGAACGGCUCACCUAGGCGACGAUCCCUAGCUGGUCUGAGAGGAUGACCAGCCACACUGGAACUGAGACACGGUACAGACUCCUUCGGGAGGCAGCAGUGGGGAAUAUUGAACACUGGGCGAAAGCCUGAUUCAGCCAUGCCGCGUGUAUGAAGAAGGCCUUCGGGUUGUAAAGUACUUUCAGCGGGGAGGCGUUACCCGCAGAAGAAGCACCGGCUAACUCCGUGCCAGCGGCCGCGGUAAUAC